CCAAUAGCGUAUAUUAAAGUUGUUGCAGUUAAAAAGCUCGUAGUUGAAUUUCGGGACCAAUUUGUUGGUCGUGCCUCGGUACGUACUGGUAUUAUUGGUUUCUCCCUUCUGAAGAACCUCGAUGCCAUUAAUUUGGUGUCGUGGGGAAUCAGGACUGUUACUUUGAAAAAAUUAGAGUGUUUAAAGCAAGCAUACGCUUGAAUACAUUAGCAUGGAAUAAUGAAGUAGGACGUUUGAUUCUAUUUUGUUGGUUUCUAGGAUCGACGUAAUGAUUAAUAGGGAUAGUUGGGGGCAUUAGUAUUCAAUUGUCAGAGGUGAAAUUCUUGGAUUUAUUGAAGACUAACUACUGCGAAAGCAUUUGCCAAGGAUGUUUUCAUUAAUCAAGAACGAAAGUUAGGGGAUCGAAGACGAUCAGAUACCGUCGUAGUCUUAACCAUAAACUAUGCCGACUAGGGAUCGGAUGAUGUUAAUUUUUUAAUGACUCAUUCGGCGCCUUACG
rnacentral:rRNA from 1 species